rnacentral:rRNA from 1 species
AGAACGAACGCUGGCGGCAUGCCUAACACAUGCAAGUCGAACGCCUGUAGCAAUACAGGAGUGGCGCACGGGUGAGUAACGCGUGGGAACCUACCCUGGAGUGGGGGAUAACCGAGAGAAAUUUCGGCUAAUACCGCAUACGACCUGAGGGUGAAAGAUUUAUCGCUCUAGGAGGGGCCCGCGUCGGAUUAGCUAGUUGGUGGGGUAACGGCCUACCAAGGCAACGAUCCGUAGCUGGUCUGAGAGGAUGAUCAGCCACACUGGGACUGAGACACGGCCCAGACUCCUACGGGAGGCAGCAGUGGGGAAUAUUGGACAAUGGGGGCAACCCUGAUCCAGCAAUGCCGCGUGAGUGAUGAAGGCCUUAGGGUUGUAAAGCUCUUUCGGCGGGACGAUGAUGACGGUACCCGCAGAAGAAGCCCGGCUAACUUCGCGCCAGCAGCCG